ensembl:snRNA U6 U6 spliceosomal RNA
AUGCUCACUUUGGCAGCACAUGUGCUAAAAUUGGAACAACACAGGGACCAUUAGCAUGGCCUCUGCACAAGGAUAACAUGAAAAUUCUUGAAGCAGCCUAUACUUUU